rnacentral:lncRNA from 1 species
GGGCGUGCAGACUAACUCCUUCCUUGUCCAAUCAGGUGCACAGGAAGAUGUCUUUUUACCAAUAAAAAUAAAGUUCGCUUUCCGGAGGCGGGAGGGUAAGCCUUGACUGCCAGUUCUCCAAAGCAACGACGGAGUAGAAGACAGAGAAUGAUUAGAGGUAGGACCAACCCAGGAAAAGGGGCGGGGUGAAGGCGGGGGUAACUCUGAGCGGCGGCUGCACUGGCCAGUGGCGUGUGAGAACUGCUGUUCCUGUUGUAGUGUUUCUCGCCAAUCAGGAAGACCAGGGGGUAGGCGGGGCGGGGAAGAGGUGGGAAGAGCUCGCAGCACCGCCGGGCGCCCGUCGGGCUCUUGGGGAGAGAGAGAGAAAUCCGGUUAAAAUCUGGAGUCGGAGGGAGGUUUAACCACAGAUCGGUUCCGAUCGGAUUAUUCCUUAAAGGGGACGCGCCAUUGUCAAGAGAACGAAGUCUGGGGCCCGAGGGCGGGGACCGGCGGCGCCUGAGGAGCGAGGCAGCUGCACUUGGACUGGGGACGGCCUUUAACAUUCCACAUUCUGCAUUGUACAUGGUGAAUCACUACUGUUUUGCACCAGUGUGCCCACUUGUGUGCCUAUAAAGUACAAGCUCCAGAUUGAAAAAGCUUCUAGAUGGAUCCUUUCCAUGUUUGGUGUUUUUUCUACAAACUCUGUGCCUCAGCAACCCUUUCUAAGUGGUAAGUGGUAUGUAUGUUUUGUGCUUUUAAAAAGGAGUAAUAGGGAUUUGUAAAACAGCUAAUUCAUUUGAAUUACCUUCCCCUUUUUUGUGCCGUGUUCUCUUUUCACACAUGGGUAAGCACCUAUUCUUUUGUGUAUGUGUGGUAAUUUUCAAAAUCAUAUCUAAGAAUAACAAUAAUACCUAAUUUUUGGAGAUUUCAGAACAUUUUUCCAUAUUAUAAUCUGGGUAUAGUAUAAUAUGCAGUAUUUAUGAAGAAUACAAAAAUAUGUAAACAACUUUUUGUGUGUGCACUUUUAUAUGCUCUGUAUUAGCUAUUUUUUUAUCAUUUCAUUUUCAUUUUGAAUGAAGUACAAGUGGUACUUACUGAUGUCACAAGAUCAUAGUUUAUAUUUAUUUCAUAAUUAGAGAUUUUACAAGUGUUUUUAAAUAAUGAUCUAAACUUAUAUUUACUGCUAUAUGUUACAUGAAACCUACCAAGUGUUACAACUAUUGUUUUAAACAUGGCUGUUAUUAGUAACUAAUAACCUACCAUGUUUCUUUUCUCUCUUUUUUCUUUGUCCUUCAGCCUUUAACAUUCCACAUUCUGCAUUGUACAUGGUGAAUCACUACUGUUUUGCACCAGUGUGCCCACUUGUGUGCCUAUAAAGUACAAGCUCCAGAUUGAAAAAGCUUCUAGAUGGAUCCUUUCCAUGUUUGGUGUUUUUUCUACAAACUCUGUGCCUCAGCAACCCUUUCUAAGUGGUAAGUGGUAUGUAUGUAUUGUGCUUUUAAAAAGGAGUAAUAGGGAUUUGUAAAACAGCUAAUUCAUUUGAAUUACCUUCCCCUUUUUUGUGCCAUGUUCUCUUUUCACACAUGGGUAAGCACCUAUUCUUUUGUGUAUGUGUGGUAAUUUUCAAAAUCUUAUCUAAGAAUAACAAUAAUACCUAAUUUUUGGAGAUUUCAGAACAUUUUUCCAUAUUAUAAUCUGGGUAUAGUAUAAUAUGCAGUAUUUAUGAAGAAUACAAAAUAUGUAAACAACUUUUGUGUGUGCACUUUUAUAUGCUCUGUAUUAGCUAUUUUUUUAUCAUUUCAUUUUCAUUUUGAAUGAAGUACAAGUGGUACUUACUGAUGUCACAAGAUCAUAGUUUAUAUUUAUUUCAUAAUUAGAGAUUUUUACAAGUGUUUUUUAAAUAAUGAUCUAAACUUAUAUUUACUGCUAUAGGUGAUUACCAUUUUUAGUGGUUAUUACAAUAAGUGAGCUUUCAAAACUGGGUUUACUAAAACUAGUUUUAUUUGGGAAGAAAAUUGUUUUAUGGAAUGAUAAAAAUGUUAGAAGUAGAAAAGCUGUGAAAAUAAGAGUAAUUUCAUGUCCAAACUAGAACUUGCAUGGUAA